GAUGAACGCUGGCGGCGUGCUUAACACAUGCGAGUCGAACGGAAAGGCCCAAGCUUGCUUGGGUACUCGAGUGGCGAACGGGUGAGUAACACGUGGGUGAUCUGCCCUGCACUUCGGGAUAAGCCUGGGAAACUGGGUCUAAUACCGGAUAGGACCACAUUUUGGAUGGUGUGGUGGAAAGUUUUUCGGUGUGGGAUGAGCUCGCGGCCUAUCAGCUUGUUGGUGGGGUAAUGGCCUACCAAGGCGUCGACGGGUAGCCGGCCUGAGAGGGUGUACGGCCACAUUGGGACUGAGAUACGGCCCAGACUCCUACGGGAGGCAGCAGUGGGGAAUAUUGCACAAUGGGCGCAAGCCUGAUGCAGCGACGCCGCGGGGGGGAUGACGGCCUUCGGGUUGUAAACUCCUUUCGCUAGGGACGAAGCGUUAUGUGACGGUACCUGGAGAAGAAGCACCGGCUAACUACGUG
rnacentral:rRNA from 1 species